CUGAAGCGGAGCUCCACCCACUUGAUUUUCAGUAGAGGAUCACGUCUCUCCGGCGGGUUUUACCUUACAGGUGCUUUACAAUGGCUGGACUCAUAGGUAGAUGUUCUGUUGGCUGCAAAGACCCACAUCUGUCCAUGCACAUUCUCCCACUGUUGGAUAACACAGAUUGGUGGCUUCAUUUUUUAUUUUUGAGGCCAAUGUUCCAGUCACGUUGCUGAAGACAGAACUAGUUUGAAUCAGUUCACCCCAGACUGCUUUGAGAACUCACAUCAGAACACGUCAGGAUUUAUAGAAACACUGAAGAAAUAUUCAGUCCCUACGGAAAUGGAGGUUGGGGGCGUGGCCAGAUACAGCUGAUUUGCAUAAAAGUGACAAAGCCCCAAAACAGCUCAUUCUGGAAGGAGCUUAAAAAAAGGGAACUGAGGAGGACAGACAGCUACGGCUGUGUGUAGCAGGGGACCUGCUUUCCUGCUCUUCUAAUUGGAGAGGUGAAUCUUUGCCCGGGGCACUGUGCCAUCUGUGAGACGGUAAUCCUGCCCAGACUUCUCUGAUUUGUCUCCAACAUGUCACACUGUGCUUCCUGAGAACAUCAGUGUCUUCAGGACUCACCCCAAACUCAUACAUGAACAGUCAAACCAUGAAACAUCUGGCUAGACAAACUGUAAAGUGACAGAGAACGUUGGACACCAGACAAACAGACUGCCAUGUAACUCCAGGAGAACAUAUGGAGGACAGUAGGGACGGUCCGGGUCAGUUCGCUCCGAUUUCAUUCUCAUGUAGUCCCAUUUCAUCCCAAACUACUUCGGUUUCCUGCCAGUAAUCAAACCAUUUCAUACACAUGAAACUACUGCA